UACAGAGGUCUCAAGCGUUGUUCGGAUUCAUUGGGCGUAAAGGGUGCGUAGGCGGCGCGGUAAGUCGGAUGUGAAAUCUCGGGGCUUAACUCCGAAACUGCAUUCGAUACUGCCGUGCUUGAGGACUGGAGAGGAGACUGGAAUUUACAGUGUAGCGGUGAAAUGCGUAGAGAUCAUGAGGAAGACCAGUGGCGAAGGCGGGUCUCUGGACAGUUCCUGACACUGAGACACGAAGGCCAGGGGAGCAAACGGG
rnacentral:rRNA from 1 species